GCCAUUUAGGAAAUCCAACAGACUUUUGUCUUGUUUCAUCGUCCUAGUAUAGGUUUUAUGGUUUCUACAGGCUCUAGGCAGAUGGUUAUAUGUCUGUGUUCGUUUGGCUUAUUUCUCAUCUACCAUUCCUACACCUAUCUCCAUUGAAGCUCUUUCUAUCAGAGCAAUGUCCACAUCUUGGGCCUUGAUGGCUUCAGUUAUACCUUCUUCUUCAUCCACUGGUCAUCUCUUCACACAUUUGCUAAACAUUGCAGUUAGGCAUACUGGCCUUGGAAGAUGCAACUUUUGGGCGAAAGGUGUUACAUACAGUUGUGAUAUGAGUCCCGCCCUUAGGGGAUUGCUUUGGUUAUCCGUGUUGUAAAGCACUGCCUCUAAUCUGAAGGGAAACGCAUACAUUUUUACUUACCGUAAAUUUAUUUUUCUUGACGAUUAGAGGCAGUGCUCACUCCCCCUCCCCGCCUGCUUUUCUAAUAGAAUAAGUUGUGCAGUUAUUCGGCUUUUGUAUUUUCUGGGGCUGUCUUGGGUAAGAGGCACUUUAUAGUGCCAAAGGUUAAUUGGGGGAGGUUCUUGAAAAUUUUGGGGAUUGCCUGCCUUUUUUUUCCCUCCAGAUUAGAAAUCCCUGUUGUAAAGCACUGCCUCUAAUCUUCAGGAAAAAUAAAUUUACGGUAAGUAAAAAUUUAUGCUUUUCCCUUCACAUAUACUGGCAGUAGGUAUGCACUCCUUAUUGGGACAAGCAGACUGCAAAAUAAAUGUAAAUAAUCCCUCCUUAUCCUAUACAAUCCAGAGGCGCCAAACUUCUGGAAUAAAAGGGAAUCAUGACAUGUCACACGUCGUGUCCUUAAGGGGUUAAACAAAUACAACGGCUACAGCACCAACUGUCAAGAUGUAACAAAAUUUAUGAUAGGUAAACAAUCUCACAGACACAGAAAGCGAAACCUCACACAGAACUCACAGCGCACUGAGAAGCAAUAAAACCGUGGCUAACAGUAACCCUUCCAAUGCUGGCUAGAAUCCUCCUAGGCAUGUAAUAUCCUAUUAUGUUGCAACUUUCAAAGCAAUGUUCAUACCAGAUCAUUAACCAUUCCUGGAACCAUCCAAUAAGAAUAAUCUACCAGAUUUUACUUUUGCCAAAUUUUAAUUUCCCUACAUAAGAUGCACUAUCUUAUUUCAGAGCAAAUCAAUACAUCUGGAUAAAUGUGACACGCUAACAGUGACAAAUAUAUCAUUAAUAUAUCGUUAUCUUGAUUCCACCUGCAGAAUGGAAUUUCUAUAACCAUAUAUUCUUUAGUUAACUAAGAUGUCUAAUUACAAAAUCGGCCGAUUUAUCUAGGCAUAUAUUCCUGCUAUGUAAAAUUUAAAUUAAAUUAAUUAAAUAAAACCAGCAUACUUACCAGUUAUGUUGUAAAUGUUAUCAGAUGAGCAGAUAGUCCCAGGAAAUUGUUUCUUAAAUUGUUUCAAG